GGUGAGUAACACGUGAGUAACCUGCCCCUGACUCUGGGAUAAGCGUUGGAAACGACGUCUAAUACUGGAUAUGACUACUGGUCGCAUGGCCUGGUGGUGGAAAGAUUUUUUGGUUGGGGAUGGACUCGCGGCCUAUCAGCUUGUUGGUGAGGUAAUGGCUCACCAAGGCGACGACGGGUAGCCGGCCUGAGAGGGUGACCGGCCACACUGGGACUGAGACACGGCCCAGACUCCUACGGGAGGCAGCAGUGGGGAAUAUUGCACAAUGGGCGAAAGCCUGAUGCAGCAACGCCGCGUGAGGGAUGACGGCCUUCGGGUUGUAAACCUCUUUUAGUAGGGAAGAAGCGAAAGUGACGGUACCUGCAGAAAAAGCACCGGCUAACUACGUGCCAGCAGCCGCGGUAAUACGUAGGGUGCAAGCGUUGUCCGGAAUUAUUGGGCGUAAAGAGCUCGUAGGCGGUUUGUCGCGUCUGCUGUGAAAUCCCGAGGCUCAACCUCGGGCUUGCAGUGGGUACGGGCAGACUAGAGUGCGGUAGGGGAGAUUGGAAUUCCUGGUGUAGCGGUGGAAUGCGCAGAUAUCAGGAGGAACACCGAUGGCGAAGGCAGAUCUCUGGGCCGUAACUGACGCUGAGGAGCGAAAGCGUGGGGAGCGAACAGGAUUAGAUACCCUGGUAGUCCACGCCGUAAACGUUGGGCGCUAGAUGUAGGGACCUUUCCACGGUUUCUGUGUCG
rnacentral:rRNA from 1 species